UUAGAACAUCUGAUUGGGUAGCUUGAAGAUCGAUUUAGAAAUGAACAUGGCUCUGAAUUAGUUUUCUUAUAGGGCAGUGUUGGGGAGCUGGAUCCAAAUCAGUAAGGCUGUUUGUGCUCCUGACUGAACUUGGCCUGCACCCCAGGAUCCCUGGCCAAAUGGGGCCACUGGCCUCUGUAAGUAAAUAGCUCUGCCUGCUGGACUCUUCACUUGAACAUUAGUGGGCUACAUGGCUUUCUAGGUGUUCUGGCCGUGUUUUCUAGUCAGGUGAGGCUGGGAGCUGUACUCAGCAAUGGAAAGUACUAUACCAUGCUGUACUGCACCAUGCCAGGUUCCCGAGUCAGACUGCACCACCAUCUUGGCCCUUUGGAUGGCAAAAGCUUCGCAGGAUUACUGCUUGAGCAUUGCAGGAAUGGAAGUUCUGGUUCAAGAUGACAGUGUAGAAGGAUCCUGAACUCACCUCCUUCCACAGACACACUGAAUCCAUGCUACAUAUGGAAGGACAUCCUUGGAAGAACAUAAAGUUAAUAAAGCAGCUGAGCAGCUCUUGCGUAUCAUGUGAGUAAGAAGGAAAAUACUUUAAAGUGGCUAGGAGAGGCUGAGAUGCAAACUCACCAUCAGGAGAGGACACAAAACCCCACCUUCUCCCUGAGGAGCAAAAGGUUUGAACUUCACAUUGAACACCCCAGCUUUUAAGACUUCUACCUGAGAACACAUCAAAACGUCUGUUUUUGAAGGUUAACAAGAAUUGCAUCCAUGAGAAGCAGAAUGAAUAGAGAGAAGUUCCUUAAAGGGCUCUCAAACUCACCUGUCCCAAAGCCCAGCACAGAGGCAGCCAACUGAAAUGCUCCCAGACUUUCUGUGAAAGAGGUUAUUUGCUUCUAGCAUUGAAAUGAGGGGCAGGCCACUAACUCACACACAUUUAAGAACCUACUGAAAACUCUCGGGGGAUAAACUCUGGCAGACAUCAUUUUUACAGUCUUCCUCAUACUUUGGAGGAAUAUACGCCAUUGGAGUAUACUCCAAUACUCCUCAAAGAGCUCAUAACCCUCAUUGGUACCAUGAUUUUUGUGGCUGUGCCUAAGGGAUACUCCUGUGUCACCUGGCUCUUGUGGCCACAGGGGCUUAUAUUCUCAAGCCCCACAAACCUGCAACAACCAUAAAACUCCUAUAAGAAAACACAGGCAGUAAGCUUUUUAUGUUGGUCAUGUUGAUAAUUUUUUGAAUGACACCAAAAGUACAGAUGUGAAAUGCCAGGCUGGAUGAAGCACAAGCUGGAAUCAAGAUUACAGG
rnacentral:lncRNA from 1 species